AUGAAAAAAGCAUGUCAAGAUAGCCAAAGAGACUGCCUGAAACCUAACCCGCAUGAUUCAACAUGAUUUCGAUUUAUUAUACCUUUUACAUGUAUAAUAAUCCAAAAACCAUGAACUUAAAAUUGAAUCAUGCAGGUGAAAAAGAUCAGGCAAGUCAUCCUUGGCUACUAAACAUGACUCUUUUCG
rnacentral:pre_miRNA from 1 species